rnacentral:rRNA from 1 species
UACGGGGGGGGUAAGCGUUGUUCGGAAUUACUGGGCGUAAAGGGCUCGUAGGCGGCCAACUAAGUCAGACGUGAAAUCCCUCAGCUUAACUGGGGAACUGCGUCUGAUACUGGCAGGCUUGAAUCCGGGAGAGGGAUGCGGAAUUCCAGGUGUAGCGGUGAAAUGCGUAGAUAUCUGGAGGAACACCGGUGGCGAAGGCGGCAUCCUGGACCGGCAUUGACGCUGAGGCGCGAAAGCCAGGGGAGCAAACGGG